rnacentral:lncRNA from 1 species
AAAGGGAUUAGCAGUCGAUCCCCCGUUAUUCAGUGUGUCGUUCUUUAUGCUCGCACUACGUGUUGAUGCUUCUGAACAUGUGCCCCAGAUCAUUGUCCAGAGUCUGUCAAGUGGAAAAGGAUCUCAAUUUAUGGAUCCCCACGCUUUCUAUGUCAUGAGCUCACCCUGGCCAGAGUUAAGAGCUAUGAGGUCUCAUCCUCAUUACUAUUUUGAUC